rnacentral:lncRNA from 1 species
AUGUUGAGAUGAUUGAGCCACAAGUUUGAAACUGCCAGGACUUCUGAGUCACCACAUGGAAAACUGCUCGUCUGCAGAGUUAUAAAAUUUGGCUAGGACUUCAUGUGAAGGACAUGUUUGCUUCCCUUUCCACCAUGAUUGCAAGUUUCCUGAGGCCUCCCUAGCCAUGCUGAACUCACAGUUUUUAAAGUAUCUAGUGUAUAUAAGGACAAGCCAUUCUCAGUCAAGCAUGAAACUGAAUCUGAGCAGGAAAAGAAGAAAGCUGAAAACACACUGAGGAUUAUGGGAGAGGGGCAAGUGCAUGAAGCUUCUCAAUGACAUACAGACACUCUAAAAGCUCAAGAGAUCAAUUAUUCAACUUCAAGAACUGAAAUUUGAACACAGAUUUUGAGCUUCCAAAUCAGCUACACAGGGAUAUUCAUCCAAGCAGAAAGAUAAUACCAGAGUUCCGAACUGGAGGCUGAAUAGCAAAAGGAAGAAAAGCACUUCACAUAAAAUAGACAGGCAUGCUUUCAGGACUAACUAAGCAUGACUGCUGUUAAACUGGCUCACUCCAUAUACUCUGUGCUACAGCAAUUUAAUAUUUCAUUAAAAAGCAUUAAUGAUGGCUCCAGUGAAUUUCUCCUAUUCAAGCUCCAUAAUGACAGCAGUUCAAGCGAGUGUUGAUCUCUGAGUGAUGCAACACAAAAACAUCGCCUAACAAAGGAACACUUGGAGUACUACUCAUAUUCUCUGCAACUUGAGGAGAAAAAGAAGUGUUCUAUAAGAAGUUUGGACAAGACUCUGCAAGAAGUUAAGAGGUCCUUAAAGGCAACUGUGAAUUAACGGAGACUAGUUUUGAGAAAAUCAGUCCUGAUUUGUUUCUCCUGGAGUUUUCUUCUUUAUGUGAUCCUUCAUAAAAGCUGCUAAUAUGGGAAAGAUUGAAAUCAGCAAGUUUCUGGCUGUAAGCUAAAAGAGGCUCUUGAAUCAUAUUUCCGCCUGCUUAGCAAAUUUCUCUUGCGACAAUUGGAUGUUAUUUGGGGUUCCAUACUAGCAGGAAGAAGUACAAGCAAAGCUAAGUCAUUUUGAGAAUAAAUAUUAUCUCUCUA